rnacentral:rRNA from 1 species
UACGGGGGGAGCAAGCGUUGUUCGGAUUUACUGGGCGUAAAGGGCGCGUAGGCGGUCAGCACAAGUCAGUUGUGAAAUCUCCGGGCUUAACUCGGAAAGGUCAACUGAUACUGUGCGACUAGAGUGCAGAAGGGGCAACUGGAAUUCUCGGUGUAGCAGUGAAAUGCGUAGAUAUGCGGAGGAACACCGAUGGCGAAGGCAAUCCCCUGGGCCUGCACUGACGCUCAUGCACGAAAGCGUGGGGAGCAAACAGG